rnacentral:rRNA from 1 species
GACGAACGCUGGCGGCGUGCUUAACACAUGCAAGUCGAACGUGAUUUUUGUGGCAAUUCUUUCGGGAAUGGAAAUGAAAUGAAAGUGGCGAACGGGUGAGUAACACGUGAGCAACCUACCUUACACAGGGGGAUAGCCGUUGGAAACGACGAUUAAUACCGCAUGAGACCACAGAAUCGCAUGAUAUAGGGGUCAAAGAUUUAUCGGUGUAAGAAGGGCUCGCGUCUGAUUAGCUAGUUGGAAGGGUAAAGGCCUACCAAGGCGACGAUCAGUAGCCGGUCUGAGAGGAUGAACGGCCACAUUGGAACUGAGACACGGUCCAAACUCCUACGGGAGGCAGCAGUGGGGAAUAUUGCACAAUGGGGGGAACCCUGAUGCAGCGACGCCGCGUGAGCGAAGAAGGUUUUCGAAUCGUAAAGCUCUGUCCUAUGAGAAGAUAAUGACGGUAUCAUAGGAGGAAGCCCCGGCUAAAUACGUG